UACGGGGGGGGUAAGCGUUGUUCGGAAUUACUGGGCGUAAAGGGCUCGUAGGCGGCCAACUAAGUCAUACGUGAAAUCCCUCAGCUUAACUGGGGAACUGCGUGUGAUACUGGAUGGCUUGGAUUUGGGAGAGGGAUGCGGAAUUCCAGGUGUAGCGGUGAAAUGCGUAGAUAUCAAGAGGAACACCUGAGGUGAAGACGGGUUGCUGGGCUGACACUGACGCUGAGGCGCGAAAGCCAGGGGAGCAAACGGGG
rnacentral:rRNA from 1 species